GACGAACGCUGGCGGCGUGCCUAACACAUGCAAGUCGAGCGAUGAAACCCUUCGGGGUGGAUUAGCGGCGGACGGGUGAGUAACACGUGGGUAACCUGCCUCAAAGAGGGGGAUAGCCUCCCGAAAGGGAGAUUAAUACCGCAUAACAUUAUUUCUUCGCAUGAAGAGAUAAUCAAAGGAGUAAUCCGCUUUGAGAUGGACCCGCGGCGCAUUAGCUAGUUGGUGAGGUAAUGGCUCACCAAGGCGACGAUGCAUAGCCGACCUGAGAGGGUGAUCGGCCACAUUGGAACUGAGAUACGGUCCAGACUCCUACGGGAGGCAGCAGUGGGGAAUAUUGCGCAAUGGGGGAAACCCUGACGCAGCAACGCCGCGUGGGUGAAGAAGGCCUUCGGGUCGUAAAGCUCUGUCUUCUGGGACGAUAAUGACGGUACCAGAGGAGGAAGCCACGGCUAACUACGUGCCAGCAGCCGCCGUAA
rnacentral:rRNA from 1 species